ensembl:lncRNA
GACAACAGAGAGGAGAAAAAUAUAAAAUCACGGAGAAGAAGCCAAACCCAUGAAAAUCUACAAAUGGGUGGAUAGCCUUUGAAUAAGGAGCUGCAUCAUCUGCUCAUUACAUGUGUUCAAAGUUGCACCGGUUCUGAAAAAGAAAAGGACAGAGUCGUCCCAGCACUUGCCAGAGGGAAAGCGAAAAACCUUUUACAAAACAAGGCUAGAUCCCUGCCAUGCGGCUGUGUCCACAGAAACUCCCAUACAGAUCCCUGUGGGAGGCCCUUCUCCCUGCACUGCCACUUCCCAAAGCCAGAUUCCUGCUUCGAGGACCCUGAGAAUAGAAAGGGGAUUCACAGAACCUGGGGAUGGGGACGCGGGGAAAGUCCCCGGAGUGGCCUGCAGACUUGGGGCCUUCCUGGCAGCACAGAUAUCUCUAUUCCGAGAGCCAAGAGGUCUGGAAUCUAGAGAAAUGAAUCCCUUGAGGACUAUAAUGAAUGCCGUGCUCCAGCAGAGUCGGCUCGGUUCAGCAGCUUGAUUAAUGACACGUGAGAGGACUCGAGGCAAAUGUAAUGGGAGAGCAAACCUUUGCAGGGUGCCUGCCCUGGAUAAGAUCCGGCGCCUCACACCCACCGAGGAAACCGCAGAGGGGCUUAGGAGAAACUCCUCCUGGAGCUGUGGGCCAAGGGCAAGGAUCUGCCCUGGUCUGAGCUUCUGAGCCCUGAGUGCCUGCAUGCCCUGAGAGCCAGCCAAGAGGAGGAAGGCCUCCAUCUGCUCCUACCCAAGUCUCUGCUCCAGCGAGGGGGUCCCUCAGCUGCCAGGCUGGUCCUGCCCGCCUAUUGGCUGACACAUUUUUCAAAGCUGUUCUCAAAGGCUUUGAUGAACCGGCUGUUGCUGGGCAGCAGCUGAAGUCAUUUGCCCUGGAAAAUGGAAGGAAGCAGGUGUAACCGCUCACCCCAACCCGACCCUCAAAAACACCCUCCCCACACACACUCUACAAAUCAUCGCGUCACUUUGUCCCUGUGUAUUUUAAUAAGCACACUAAUCUCUGACCCCUUAGCAUUUCUGCCCUAAAAUGAAACCAAGAGCAUCACUCUUCGGCUUCCCCUUUGAGAGAAAGAGGUGCCAGUCCCGGGCAAUAUUCUAGCCAAGACCCGAGGUCCCUCUUCAGGUGAAGUCUGCCUACAGAAGAUGCAAGAUGCCUCUCUCACCCUCUAAGUUCCGUGUGUGUAUGUACGUUUGGUCACUCAGUCAUGUCCAGCUCCUUAGAACCACAUGAACUGUAGCCCACCAGGCUCCUCUGUCCAUGGGAUUCUCCAAGCAAGCAUACUGGAGUGGGCAGCCAUUCCUUUUUCCAGGGGAUCUUCCCGACCCAGGGGUCAAACCCAUGUCUUCUUCAUUGGAGGCAGAUUCUUUGCCAUCUGAGCCACCAGCCUCCAUAAAACAGCAGCAUUCCUGGAUCCAGAAGUGUCUCAGGAAGACUGAAUACUUUUUAUUCGGUUUCUCAUUUUAUCAAGUACGAAAAAACUGAAAUAGCACUUCACCUAAAAAUUCAUGAAAUCUCUAAUUUUUGUUAACUGAUGUAAUUUUGUGUUUGAAAGUACUUUGAAUUGAAAUUUUAUCACUUGAAAGGGCUCUUUUCCACUCAUCCUCUUUGAUCACCACAACAAUCCAGUAAGUUAAGCAAAUAACUUGGAGGAAAUUGAGACAUCAGAAGAAAACGAAAUUAUCUAAGAAUUUAUUG